GACGAACGCUGGCGGCGUGCUUAACACAUGCAAGUCGAACGGAAAGGCCCCUUUGGGGGUACUCGAGUGGCGAACGGGUGAGUAACACGUGAGUAACCUGCCCUUGACUUCGGGAUAACUUCAGGAAACUGGGGCUAAUACCGGAUAGGAAUCCUUGCUGCAUGGUGGGGGUUGGAAAGCUUCGGCGGUUUUGGAUGGACUCGCGGCGUAUCAGCUUGUUGGUGGGGUAGUGGCUUACCAAGGCUUUGACGGGUAGCCGGCCUGAGAGGGUGACCGGCCACAUUGGGACUGAGAUACGGCCCAGACUCCGACGGGAGGCAGCAGGGGGGAAGAUUGCACAAUGGGCGGAAGCCGGAUGCAGCAGCGCCGCGUGCGGGAGGACGGCCUUCGGGUUGUAAACCGCUUUCAGCAGGGGCGAAGCUUGUGGUGACGGUACCUGCAGAAGAAGCACCGGCUAACUACGUG
rnacentral:rRNA from 1 species